rnacentral:rRNA from 1 species
GACGAACGCUGGCGGCGUGCCUAAUACAUGCAAGUCGAACGCUUUUUCUUUCACCGGAGCUUGCUCCACCGAAAGAAAAAGAGUGGCGAACGGGUGAGUAACACGUGGGUAACCUGCCCAUCAGAAGGGGAUAACACUUGGAAACAGGUGCUAAUACCGUAUAACACUAUUUUCCGCAUGGAAGAAAGUUGAAAGGCGCUUUUGCGUCACUGAUGGAUGGACCCGCGGUGCAUUAGCUAGUUGGUGAGGCAACGGCUCACCAAGGCAACGAUGCAUAGCCGACCUGAGAGGGUGAUCGGCCACACUGGGACUGAGACACGGCCCAGACUCCUACGGGAGGAAGCAGUAGGGAAUCUUCGGCAAUGGACGAAAGUCUGACCGAGCAACGCCGCGUGAGUGAAGAAGGUUUUCGGAUCGUAAAACUCUGUUGUUAGAGAAGAACAAGGAUGAGAGUAGAACGUUCAUCCCUUGACGGUAUCUAACCAGAAAGCCACGGCUAAUUACGUGCCAGCAGCCGCCGUAA